GCCCAGGUGAUCCUUGUCCUGUCUAAGCUCUGAGUAACAGGGUUUGAACCCUUUUCUCUCUUUCUCUCUCUAGGGUUACUACGUUGGAGUAGGGAUUGGUGGAUUUGAACCUACUUCCUUCCUCUCUUUUGUGCUUGCUGGUUUGGGAGACUUGGAGCAGCUGUGGGAAGGUGAGAAGGAGUCUUGAGAGAGGUAUUUUCGCAGCCCUAACUCAGUAGGAAACUGAGUUGAAGUUUGAUAAGGUGAGAUAAACAACUUCUCGCAAGUUGUUAGCCAUAGUAGUGAAGUUGAUGUUGAUUUGGGUUUCUUGUUGCGAGCUGGUUUGAGGGGAGGUUCCAGCAGCUGAAGAAGCAGAGUUGGGCUGUAGUUCUUCAACUCUAAUCCGGGGGAAAGCUGGAUUGAAGCCUUGAAAGCAGAGUGAUAUUCACUUCGAGCUGAGUUUAGUGGCUCUUGUGGGCUGGUUUGGAGGUACUUCAACCUGUGUUGAAGUGGAAGAUUAGCUGAGGUCUGAACCCAGGUUCGCAAUGAGCUACUUGGAUCCUUUUGGCUGGGAAUUGGUGAGCUUUCGAAGAGUAAUUGGAGGUGCUCAACCUGAAUUGAAGAGGAAUUCACGUUUGGUUACUUCUAGGGUGCUGGAAGGCUUCGGAGCACCUUGAGCUGAGUUUGGGGAUUCUUAGAAGCUGGUUUUGAUGUACUUUAACCUGAAUUGAGUAUACCUGCUAGAGUACUUGGAAGCUAGAGAACAUCUUCGUUUGCAGGAUCGACGAGAGUCGACAGUGAUUCGUUUCUUGUGCAGAGCCUUCCACGGCGGGAGAGGCUAGAGAUCGUGGCAAGGGGUUGGCGACUAGCUAGAGCCCUACGGAGAUACAUUAGAUGGACCCAGUGUUAUCAUUCCUUUUGUACUUAUAGAAAUGAUGUACUAUGUAUUUGCUUCUGAGUGGUCGUAGGACACUUAAUUUUAGUAGUAUACUUUCGUAUAGCUUGUGAAUCUUCUGGUGUUAGAAUUUUAUAGUUUUAUGGUACUCGCUCUGAUAACCUUGUUAGUAUUUUGAACUUGUUCAUUCUUUGGUAGACGCCUUGUGUGCAUUGUGGUUGUUUGGUGUACACGGCGGGUCUGUACACAUUACCGUGAGCUUCGGCGGAAGCCCAGGGCGUGACAAUAACGCUCGAGCAAACCUAAUGCAGAACCAUAU